CAGUGUAAGUCAUGAAUUCUGUCUUUCUUAAUCAGAGACUGCUUUAUACUUGAUCCAACAGCUGAUAUUCAAAUUUCAAAAUUUAUGAACUAGAAAUGCCUGUGAGCACGAUAUUAUCCUCAUAGCUGACACCACCUGAGUGUGCUCAAGCAAGUGUGAAAUUCUGUUGAUUAAUGAACUGAAAUGUCAAAUGGAAAGGUUACCUUGAUUGUAUCUUGUACCUUUUGUUUUACCUAUACAAGAGAAACCAGUAAUUUAUGACUCAUUGAAAGUUCAUAUUUUCAAGACAUUUUCUAUAUUCUAACACGGGUAAGAGAUAUCAUCUGGAUAUAUAUCACUAGAAACUAUAAAGGAGGUAUGACUAUGAGAAAUAUAACUACAUAAAAUAUCCUGUCACAUCAAUGAAAAGUAUAUUAUGAGACUCUAUAUAAAUACAUGCAUACAUAUAUACACAUAUGCAUACGUUCUCUCACACACAUUCAUGCAAGCACUUACACACAUGCAAACAUGUUUAUAAGAAUACACAUGUACAGGCAUAAAU